rnacentral:lncRNA from 1 species
AAUUAGUGCCGGUAUUUGUGCGUAUUGUUGGAUAGCUGAACCUUUUCCUAUAACCUGACAAACUUUUUGCACAGGACUGUACCUCCCAUUCUACAUUUUCCGUUGGGUCGUGCUCAACUUUCUUGCAACUGGUUUUUAUUAAAAAGUCAGUAAUGAAUUCAUCAUGUGUGUGUCUUUUUAACAAUACCAUUAGUUUACUUUUAUCAUCUCUUGCACACACUACUUCCAUUACUGUGCAAUCAUUCAUCCAUCCUUUUUACCUUUGCCCGUAAUGAUUUUAUAUCAUUAUAAUGAUAAUUCCUAAUAUUAUUAGCUAUCUGCCACUUAAUUUCAUCUGCUUUUACUGGAUCGCAUUCCUGCAAAACUGGUUCCAUUGGAUGGCCACAUUCUCCAAGUUGGGAGACUCUGUACCAAAGCAUUAGUGCCUAGACUUAAAACCUCAUCCACGUAGAUCAGAACCACAAUCUCAUCCGUUACAUAAGUUGUUAAGUUAUGUUUGUAACUCUUCCUCACCUGCUUCUUUAAUAACCAUUUGAACUUUUUUACGUAUCUACGAUUAAUUACAGACUGAUUCCAUGUCAAAAAAGGCUCAUACCUUGGAAAAUUCGCCCUCAAAUUCUGAACCAUGAUCUCACUCGUAUCAUUUUGUUUAAACUUCGAUUUAAAACGAAACAAGUCUCUCCUUGCAUCUGUGAUAGCCGCUGAUAGACAUCGCUUCUUAGUAUUCACCAAUAAGUUUUUUGAUCUUACUGGUAAAGUCAAUUUUGCUAUCAACGAUGGAAACACACCGUUUAACCUAGAUUGUCGUAAAAACGUAAGACGUUCUUCUAGGGUUACCAAUUUCUUUAGUUGUCUAUUUGUGAAAAAGGUUGGCUCAACCUGCAUUGUCUAAAUUACAUCAUACAUACGCUGCCGUGAUGUAUAGACUAUAAAAGUUGCAGUACAGCGGCGGGAAGGUAAAGGCUUUGACACAGAAAAUGACACAGUUCAUCAACAAAAAAUCAACCAGGAGGCCGAUUGAUG